GUGGGGAAUAUUGGACAAUGGGCGAAAGCCUGAUCCAGCCAUGCCGCGUGUGUGAAGAAGGUCUUCGGAUUGUAAAGCACUUUAAGUUGGGAGGAAGGGCAGUAAGUUAAUACCUUGCUGUUUUGACGUUACCGACAGAAUAAGCACCGGCUAACUUCGUGCCAGCAGCCGCGGUAAUACGAAGGGUGCAAGCGUUAAUCGGAAUUACUGGGCGUAAAGCGUGCGCAGGCGGUUUUGUAAGACAGGCGUGAAAUCCCCGGGCUCAACCUGGGAACUGCCUACAAAACUGCAUGACUAGAGUACGGUAGAGGGUAGUGGAAUUUCCUGUGUAGCGGUGAAAUGCGUAGAUAUAGGAAGGAACACCAGUGGCGAAGGCGACUACCUGGACUGAUACUGACACUGAGGUGCGAAAGCGUGGGGAGCAAACAGGAUUAGAUACCCUUGUAGUCC
rnacentral:rRNA from 1 species